UGGGGAAUCUUGGACAAUGGGGGCAACCCUGAUCCAGCGACGCCGCGUGGGUGGUAAGGCCUUCGGGUUGUAAAGCGCUUUCACUGGUGAAGAUGAUGACGGUAGCCAGAGAAGAAGCCCCGGCUAACUCCGUGCCAGCAGCCGCGGUAAUACGGAGGGGGCAAGCGUUGUUCGGAAUUACUGGGCGUAAAGGGCGCGUAGGCGGAACAUCAAGUUAGGGGUGAAAGGCCUGGGCUCAACCUGGGAACGGCCUCUAAAACUGGUGAUCUAGAGACCGGAAGAGGAUGGCGGAAUUCCUAGUGUAGAGGUGAAAUUCGUAGAUAUUAGGAAGAACACCGGUGGCGAAGGCGGCCAUCUGGUCCGGAUCUGACGCUGAGGCGCGAAAGCGUGGGGAGCAAACAGGAUUAGAUACCCGCGUAGUCC
rnacentral:rRNA from 1 species